GAGCGUAAACUCCUUUUAUCAGGAAAGAAUAAUGACGGUACCUGAUGAAUAAGCACCGGCUAACUCCGUGCCAGCAGCCGCGGUAAUACGGGGGGUGCAAGCGUUACUCGGAAUCACUGGGCGUAAAGGACGCGUAGGCGGAUUAUCAAGUCUUUUGUGAAAUCUAGUGGCUUAACCACUAAACUGCUUAGGAAACUGAUAGUCUAGAGUAGGGGAGAGGUAGAUGGAAUUCUUGGUGUAGGGGUAAAAUCCGUAGAGAUCAAGAAGAAUACCCAUUGCGAAAGCGAUCUGCUGGAACCUAACUGACGCUGAGGCGUGAAAGCGUGGGUAGCAAACAGGAUUAGAUACCCUGGUAGUCCACGCCCUAAACGAUGUAUACUAGUUGUUGCUUUGCUAGUCAAGGCAGUAAUGCAGCUAACGCAUUAAGUAUACCGCCUGGGGAGUACGGUCGCAAGAUUAAAACUCAAAGGAAUAGACGGGGACCCGCACAAGCGGUGGAGCAUGUGGUUUAAUUCGAAGAUACGCGAAGAACCUUACCUGGACUUGACAUCCUAAAAACAUCUAAGAGAUUAGAAAGUGCUAGUUUACUAGAAUUUAGUGACAGGUGCUGCACGGCUGUCGUCAGCUCGUGUCGUGAGA
rnacentral:rRNA from 1 species